AUUGAACGCUGGCGGCAGGCCUAACACAUGCCAGUCGAGCGGAUGAAGGGAGCUUGCUCCUGGAUUCAGCGGCGGACGGGUGAGUAAUGCCUAGGAAUCUGCCUGGUAGUGGGGGAUAACGUCCGGAAACGGGCGCUAAUACCGCAUACGUCCUGAGGGAGAAAGUGGGGGAUCUUCGGACCUCACGCUAUCAGAUGAGCCUAGGUCGGAUUAGCUAGUUGGUGGGGUAAAGGCCUACCAAGGCGACGAUCCGUAACUGGUCUGAGAGGAUGAUCAGUCACACUGGAACUGAGACACGGUCCAGACUCCUACGGGAGGAAGCAGUGGGGAAUAUUGGACAAUGGGCGAAAGCCUGAUCCAGCCAUGCCGCGUGUGUGAAGAAGGUCUUCGGAUUGUAAAGCACUUUAAGUUGGGAGGAAGGGCAGUAAGUUAAUACCUUGCUGUUUUGACGUUACCAACAGAAUAAGCACCGGCUAACUUCGUG
rnacentral:rRNA from 1 species